CCUACGGGAGACAGCAGUGAGGAAUAUUGGUCAAUGGCCGAGAGGCUGAACCAGCCAAGUCGCGUGAGGGAAGACGGCCCUACGGGUUGUAAACCUCUUUUGUCGGGGGGCAAAGAGAGUCACGUGUGACUCAUUGAGAGUACCCGAAGAAAAAGCAUCGGCUAACUCCGUGCCAGCAGCCGCGGUAAUACGGAGGAUGCGAGCGUUAUCCGGAUUUAUUGGGUUUAAAGGGUGCGCAGGCGGAGGUGCAAGUCAGCGGUCAAAUUGCGGGGCUCAACCCCGUACUGCCGUUGAAACUGCAGCCCUUGAGUGCGCGAGAAGUAGGCGGAAUGCGUGGUGUAGCGGUGAAAUGCAUAGAUAUCACGCAGAACUCCGAUUGCGAAGGCAGCAUACCGGCGCGCAACUGACGCUCAUGCACGAAAGCGUGGGUAUCGAACAGGAUUAGAUACCCCAGUAGUC
rnacentral:rRNA from 1 species